UACAGAGGGGGCAAGCGUUAUUCGGAAUUAUUGGGCGUAAAGGGCGCGUAGGCGGCCUGGCAAGUGACGGGUGAAAGCCCUCGGCUUAACCGAGGAACUGCCUGUCAGACUGUUAGGCUUGAGACCGGGAGAGGUGAGUGGAAUUCCCAGUGUAGCGGUGAAAUGCGUAGAUAUUGGGAGGAACACCGAUAGCGAAGGCAGCUCGCUGGAACGGUACUGACGCUAAGGCGCGAAAGCGUGGGGAGCGAACAGG
rnacentral:rRNA from 1 species